GGCGGGGUAGCUCAAAGGCAGAGCGGGGGACUCAUAAGCCCUAGGUUGUGAGUUCGAGUCUCACCCCCGCCACCA
rnacentral:tRNA from 2 species